AACGAACGCUAGCGGCAGGCUUAACACAUGCAAGUCGAGCGCCCCGCAAGGGGAGCGGCAGACGGGUGAGUAACGCGUGGGAAUCUACCCAUCUCUACGGAAUAACGCAUGGAAACGUGUGCUAAUACCGUAUACGUCCUUCGGGAGAAAGAUUUAUCGGAGAUGGAUGAGCCCGCGUUGGAUUAGCUAGUUGGUGGGGUAAAGGCCUACCAAGGCGACGAUCCAUAGCUGGUCUGAGAGGACGAUCAGCCACACUGGGACUGAGACACGGCCCAGACUCCUACGGGAGGCAGCAGUGGGGAAUAUUGGACAAUGGGCGCAAGCCUGAUCCAGCCAUGCCGCGUGAGUGAUGAAGGCCCUAGGGUUGUAAAGCUCUUUCACCGGUGAAGAUAAUGACGGUAACCGGAGAAGAAGCCCCGGCUAACUUCGUGCCAGCAGCCGCAGUAAAAC
rnacentral:rRNA from 1 species